rnacentral:tRNA from 1 species
UUAUAUUUUGGUGUAUAAGCAUAAAAAAUUUUGAUUUUUUUGGGAAUAAAAUAUUAUUAAAUAUAAU